rnacentral:rRNA from 1 species
GACGAACCGUGCGAACGUUGUUCGGAAUCACUGGGCUUAAAGGGCGCGUAGGCGGGCGACCAAGUCAGGGGUGAAAUCUUUCGGCCCAACCGGAAAAGUGCCCCUGAUACUGGCCGCCUCGAGGGGGGUAGGGGCAUGCGGAACUUCCGGUGGAGCGGUGAAAUGCGUAGAUAUCGGAAGGAACGCCGGUGGCGAAAGCGGCGUGCUGGACCCCUUCUGACGCUGAGGCGCGAAAGCCAGGGGAGCAAACGGG